AUUGAACGCUGGCGGCAGGCUUAACACAUGCAAGUCGAGCGAGCGGCGGACGGGUGAGUAAUGUCUGGGAAACUGCCUGAUGGAGGGGGAUAACUACUGGAAACGGUAGCUAAUACCGCAUACCAUCAGAUGUGCCCAUAUGGGAUUAGCUAGUAGGUGGGGUAAUGGCUCACCUAGGCGACGAUCCCUAGCUGGUCUGAGCGGGUGACCAGCCAAAGUGGAACUGAGACACGGUCCGACCCCCUACGGGAGUCAGCAGUGGGGAAUUUUGCAAAAUGGUCGAAAGCCUGAUUCUGCAAUGCCGCGUGUGUGAAGAAGGUCUUCGGGUUGUAAAGCACUUUCAGCGAGGAGGCGUUACUCGCAGAAGAAGCACCGGCUAACUCCGUGCCAGCAGCCGCGGUAAUAC
rnacentral:rRNA from 1 species